rnacentral:misc_RNA from 1 species
GAUGAAGAACGUAGCGAAAUGCGAUAAGUAAUGUGAAUUGCAGAAUUCAGUGAAUCAUCGAAUCUUUGAACGCACAUUGCGCCCCUUGGUAUUCCGAGGGGCAUGCCUGUUCGAGCGUCAUUAUAACCCUCAAGCUCAGCUUGGUGUUGGGGCCUGCUGCACUGGCAGCCCUUAAAAUCAGUGGCGGCGCCAUCUGGCUCUAAGCGUAGUAAUUCUUCUCGCUAUGGAGUCCUGGUGGAUGCUUGCCAUCAACCCCCAAUUUUUCUAUGGUUGACCUCGGAUCAGGUAGGGAUACCCGCUGAACUUAAGCAUAUCAAUAGCGGAGGA